UUGGUGGGGUGAUGGCCUACCAAGGCGAUGACGGGUAGCCGGCCUGAGAGGGCGACCGGCCACACUGGGACUGAGACACGGCCCAGACUCCUACGGGAGGCAGCAGUGGGGAAUAUUGCGCAAUGGGCGGAAGCCUGACGCAGCGACGCCGCGUGAGGGAUGACGGCCUUCGGGUUGUAAACCUCUUUCAGCAGGGACGAAGCGCAAGUGACGGUACCUGCAGAAGAAGCACCGGCCAACUACGUGCCAGCAGCCGCGGUAAUACGUAGGGUGCAAGCGCUGUCCGGAAUUAUUGGGCGUAAAGAGCUCGUAGGCGGCUUGUCACGUCGACUGUGAAAACCCGGGGCUCAACUCCGGGCCUGCAGUCGAUACGGGCUGGCUUGAGUGCGGUAGGGGAGACUGGAAUUCCUGGUGUAGCGGUGAAAUGCGCAGAUAUCAGGAGGAACACCGGUGGCGAAGGCGGGUCUCUGGGCCGUAACUGACGCUGAGGAGCGAAAGCGUGGGGAGCGAACAGGAUUAGAUACCCUGGUAGUCCACGCCGUAAACGUUGGGCGCUAGGUGUGGGGACCUAUCCACGGUCUCCGUGCCGCAGCUAACGCAUUAAGCGCCCCGCCUGGGGAGUACGG
rnacentral:rRNA from 1 species